GAUGAAGAACGCAGCGAAAUGCGAUAAGUAAUGUGAAUUGCAGAAUUCAGUGAAUCAUCGAAUCUUUGAACGCACAUUGCGCCCCCUGGUAUUCCAGGGGGCAUGCCUGUUCGAGCGUCAUUUCACCACUCAAGCCUCGCUUGGUAUUGGGCAACGCGGUCCGCCGCGUGCCUCAAAUCGUCCGGCUGGGUCUUCUGUCCCCUAAGCGUUGUGGAAACUAUUCGCUAAAGGGUGUUCGGGAGGCUACGCCGUAAAACAACCCCAUUUCUAAGGUUGACCUCGGAUCAGGUAGGGAUACCCGCUGAACUUAAGCAUAUCAAUAAGCGGAGGA
rnacentral:misc_RNA from 1 species